rfam:Methanosarcina acetivorans str. C2A, complete genome.
UAGGGCCCGGAGACUUCCCUGUCUGCUCAGGGAAAUAUAUCCUCUGACUGCGUUGGCGGCCAGAUCUCUUCGGAUAGCCACGAAGUCUCCCAGCUCAACG